rnacentral:sRNA from 1 species
UAGUUAAUCCUAAAUCACUAUCAUGUCAUUGUAGUACUGAAGGUUGUCAAUCCAAAUGGGUGUGAUGCUAGCAAUCAAGAUGCAAUCAGAGUUCACAUAGUCAAGCCAAGCAA